CAACACAUCUCUUAAAGUUCUAGCUCACCUUUCUGGUGUUGUUCUUGUACUCAUCUGUUUAAUCUAGUUCUGCCACUUCUUCUUGAACUUCUUGUUAGAUUUCAAGUCUGUAUUUUGUGUCCGUGACAGAUUGAAGAUACUGAAGAUAUAGGUACUACCUUCUAUUCUAGGACACAACAAGGAGAGGAUGAAUAUCAAAGAUCAUUUACAGAAGAAUUAUAUGAAGAAGAAUAGAUUGAUAUUAGAUGCUAUUUAAAUACAUUAUCAAGACAAUCAAGAUGAAGCGAUAUUCAUUUCAAAUAGAUUAGACGGAAGGCUUACAACUACCUCAUAUAAGGUAGUUAUCUAUAGAAGCGAUGUAAACGGGAUAGUGGAAUGCUACAAAGAGUAAUUUGCAAGAGAGAGAUGCAAGAAUAAUUAAUCCCUGAAUUCCAUAAUAGUUUGUGGACUGGACAUAAAGGUAUUUAUGCCACCUUUAACAAGCUCAAAGAAAAAUAUUGGUGGCAUAACAUAUAUAGAGAUGUGGUGAAGUUUGUAGAAUCAUGCCAAAUUUAUCAGAUAUACUCGGAGAUUUGACAUAGAGAUGGAUUGCAUCCUACAUAUCCACUUGCAAUACAUUAUAAAUGG
rnacentral:lncRNA from 1 species